GGGAGGAAGCGCCAGGGUCCGCUCAAGUUUCAGCGAUGCCGCAUCACUUUGUCUCCUCUUAACCCAGGUAUGUGCCGCAAUGACAGCGUCAGCCUCGGAGCGCAGCUGAAGCGUGCGACCCCCAAGGAGCCUGGCCCUCUUAGGAGAUGAGACAACAGCCUGGCAACGGCUGGAACUUCCCAGAUGGCGAGGUGGCCUUCUUUCACACCUGAUGCAGAUUUGCAUCCCUGGACAGCCGAGAGACGCAGAUCGAUUCUAUCUGUGGUGGAGCGCUCCAUACUAGGUGAGGGGGUUCGCACAGGAAGGAGGUAAAGCCGGAUCUCAGCAGUCAAUGUCAAGUGAGCGAGGCGGUCCACUUGCAUUACGC